GAUUUCUGACUUGGUGCGCGCUGUCCGUUGCGGUUACGUGACGUGUGCAGUAGCGCGCCUGUCAUACUUCUGGAUUUUGAUGUUGCCCUUCACUGGGUGAUGUCGCUAUCUAGAUCUUUUACUUUGAAAAAAUUAGAGUGUUUCAAGCAGGCUUUAUGCUAUGAAUACAUUAGCAUGGAAUAAUAAUUUAGGACUUCGGUUCUAUUUUGUUGGUUUCUAGGACUGAAGUAAUGAUUGAUAGGGAUAGUUGGGGGUGCUAGUAUUCAGCGGCCAGAGGUGAAAUUCUCGGAUUCGCUGAAGACUAACUUAUGCGAAAGCAUU
rnacentral:rRNA from 1 species